UACGGGGGGGGCAAGCGUUGUUCGGAAUUACUGGGCGUAAAGGGCCAGUAGGCGGCCAACUAAGUCCGACGUGAAAUCCCAAGGCUUAACCUUGGAACUGCGUCGGAUACUGGAUGGCUUGAAUUCGGGAGAGGGAUGCAGAAUUCCAGGUGUAGCGGUGAAAUGCGUAGAUAUCGGGAGGAACACCAGUGGCGAAGGCGACUUCCUGGCCUGUUCUUGACGCUGAGGCGCGAAAGCUAGGGGAGCAAACGGG
rnacentral:rRNA from 1 species